UUCCCCAUAUCCGGGGUACUCCUCCCGCAAUCUCAAACAAUGGCAUAGUACGGUUUUUAAACAUGUGUGAAUACCUGAAUGUUAUACACUACUGGAACGAGAAGCGUAUCAACUGUGAAUCUAGCUAAACUGUUGUUGCCCAAAUUAAAUAAUAUUCCGACUCCAAGCAAAUAUAUAAGCAUAUAGCAAAACCAGUACUGUAUUUUGAAACCGUGCAUGCCCGUAUAUUCGUAGACAGAUAACGUAUUUUUCUCAACCUAUCUACACAAACGAUACACCAUUCAAAAGCUGCUACCUCACAGAUUCCAACAGUGAUAGCCGUGUUCCUCUAUGACCAACACUCACUAAACUAUUAAUCAAAGAACAAACGUAAAUUUUUUUUAUCACAACAACCUUUGUUGUUUCUGUUACCAAAAGUAGUGUCUGAUCGAAUAAAACCACUUGAAAAGAUACUCUAGGGUCUCUCUCUCAUUCCGAGUCGAUUUCAAUGAGUUUCCAUCGUUUUACAUGGCCAACAAUGUGUUUGAAGAUGAAGUCAGUAGUUUGGUUCAAUCACAACAGGCACUGUUUUGUCGCCAUCUUCUGGAUAUAUGAUGCAAUCCCGGUGGUUUGUCAUUGUUCUCAUUUAAUUCUACAGAUCCAGAGCUUUCGAUAGAGGGGUCACAUGUCAAAAUCGACCAACCGGUUGUUGAAAUAUCCAGGUGCGCACCUCAUUGUCUCAUAUUAGUUGACUUGCUGCAUUACGCACGGUUACGCAGAGUGCACCACAACACUAGAAUUUCGGAGGUAAAACGCAAAGUUUAUUCAAAUAUGGCAGGCUCUAGUAACAAAUAUACAGUUACAGAGGCGUUAUUAAUUGUAACAGAUGAAAGUUGGACUCCAUGUAUCCCCAUUGACUCUGAAUGAGACGAUGAGGACCUGCUUAUACCGGACGAACCAGACCCCAACGACGAGAACGAAGGUUAUCGUGUCCAGGGCCCUACUCAAGCAUCAGAAGAUGAAGAUGAUUAUAGGGGUAUGAGCCACAGCCAGAGCAUCUGCCUCCUCAGCCACAGCUUCCCCUUCCUCAGGCAGAGCCUCCUCUUCCUCAGCCUGGCCGCUUGUCUAGACAACGCACUUCUGCUCCCCUCCCUCGGCCACGGUCUUCAUCGGACACUGAGUCCCCUGUAAAGAGCCCUCAACCCAAAAGAAAAUGAAAAGUUUUCUCAAAGUCAGCGCAUCCAAGUCAGCGUGGUGGAGGUAGGCCUGCCACUCCAAGAGUCGGGGAGGAAGAAGAGGAAGAAGAAGAUAGGUGGCAUAAUAGAGAAGAGAAAAAAGGGUCUACAUUUUGUGUGACAACCCACCCAAGGACACCAUAUCAUUGUUUAUAGUUUUGGGAUGUGUGUAAUUUUUUAUUUUAAAUGUGUUGUUUAUAGUUUCUAAUAAAUCUGCUCAGUUUGGAGUCAAACUUU